rnacentral:rRNA from 1 species
CCUACGGGGGGCUGCAGUGGGGAAUAUUGGACAAUGGGGGGAACCCUGAUCCAGCCAUGCCGCGUGUGUGAAGAAGGCCCUCGGGUUGUAAAGCACUUUCAGUGAUGAAGAACGCCUGGUGGUUAAUACCCAUCAGGAAAGACAUCACUCACAGAAGAAGCACCGGCUAACUCCGUGCCAGCAGCCGCGGUAAUACGGAGGGUGCGAGCGUUAAUCGGAAUUACUGGGCGUAAAGCGCGCGUAGGUGGCUUGAUAAGCCGGUUGUGAAAGCCCCGGGCUCAACCUGGGAACGGCAUCCGGAACUGUCAAGCUAGAGUGCAGGAGAGGAAGGUAGAAUUCCCGGUGUAGCGGUGAAAUGCGUAGAGAUCGGGAGGAAUACCAGUGGCGAAGGCGGCCUUCUGGACUGACACUGACACUGAGGUGCGAAAGCGUGGGUAGCAAACAGGAUUAGAUACCCUGGUAGUC